AUUGAACGCUGGCGGCAUGCUUUAUACAUGCAAGUCGAACGGUAACAGGCCUUCGGGUGCUGACGAGUGGCGAACGGGUGAGUAAUGCAUCGGAACGUGCCCAGAGGUGGGGGAUAACGCAGCGAAAGCUGUGCUAAUACCGCAUGUGAUCUGAGGAUGAAAGCGGGGGACCAAGCAGCAAUGUUUGGCCUCGCGCCUCUGGAGCGGCCGAUGUCAGAUUAGGUAGUUGGUGGGGUAAAGGCCUACCAAGCCGACGAUCUGUAGCUGGUCUGAGAGGACGACCAGCCACACUGGGACUGAGACACGGCCCAGACUCCUACGGGAGGCAGCAGUGGGGAAUUUUGGACAAUGGGCGCAAGCCUGAUCCAGCAAUGCCGCGUGCGGGAAGAAGGCCUUCGGGUUGUAAACCGCUUUUGUACGGAACGAAAAGGCUCUGGCUAAUACCUGGGGCUGAUGACGGUACCGGAAGAAUAAGCACCGGCUAACUACGUG
rnacentral:rRNA from 1 species